AUACGAAGGGGGCUAGCGUUGUUCGGAAUCACUGGGCGUAAAGCGCGCGUAGGUGGAUCAAUUAGUUGAGGGUGAAAUCCCGGAGCUCAACCUCGGAACUGCCUUCAAUACUGUUGAUCUUGAGACCGAGAGAGGUGAGUGGAAUUCCUAGUGUAGAGGUGAAAUUCGUAGAUAUUAGGAAGAACACCAGUGGCGAAGGCGGCUCACUGGCUCGGUACUGACGCUGAGGGACGAAAGCGUGGGGAGCGAACAGGAUUAGAAACCCUAGUAGUCC
rnacentral:rRNA from 1 species